AUUGAACGCUGGCGGCAUGCCUUACACAUGCAAGUCGAACGGCAGCACGGGAGCAAUCCUGGUGGCGAGUGGCGAACGGGUGAGUAAUAUAUCGGAACGUGCCCAGUCGUGGGGAUAACGUAGCGAAAGCUACGCUAAUACCGCAUACGAUCCAUGGAUGAAAGCGGGGGAUCGCAAGACCUCGCGCGAUUGGAGCGGCCGAUAUCAGAUUAGGUAGUUGGUGAGGUAAAGGCUCACCAAGCCGACGAUCUGUAGCUGGUCUGAGAGGACGACCAGCCACACUGGGACUGAGACACGGCCCAGACUCCUACGGGAGGCAGCAGUGGGGAAUUUUGGACAAUGGGCGCAAGCCUGAUCCAGCAAUGCCGCGUGCAGGAUGAA
rnacentral:rRNA from 1 species